rnacentral:rRNA from 1 species
UACGGGGGGGGUAAGCGUUGUUCGGAAUUACUGGGCGUAAAGCGUGCGCAGGCGGUUUUGUAAGCCAGAUGUGAAAUCCCCGGGCUCAACCUGGGAAUGGCAUUUGGGACUGCAAGGCUCGAGUGCGGCAGAGGAGACUGGAAUUCCUGGUGUAGCAGUGAAAUGCGUAGAUAUCAGGAGGAAUACCGAUGGCGAAGGCAGGUCUCUGGGCUGACACUGACGCUCAUGCACGAAAGCGUGGGGAGCAAACAGG